UUGUAGAUGUUAAAAGCAAGAGACAUGGGAGAGCAUCAUUCCUUUGAGAUUUUAUAAAUCAAACCAAGUUUGGAGUUGUCUUGUCUGAUUUGGAGAGUCAUUAUUCUUGGUCUUCGCUCUUAGGGGCCACUGAUGAAGAACAGGCAGUGACUGGGAUGAAUCCUGGUCAGAGAGGAGAAUCUUCUUUCCCCUAAACAGCGGUGGUUUUAAAGAAGGACGCUGCCCUGGAUGAUGUAGAAGAUGUCAGAUGCGGUGCUGAUGGGGUUUCUUCAUGAUUACAUCAGUUAUGCUAAAGAGAUCAUGAAAAUUGACCGUGAUGCAUGAUCUGUAUUCAUGGACUAUGAAACAAACUGUAAGUGUAUAAUUUGUUAAAAAAAAAAAAGUUAAAUGCUUUUUCUGUGUUGUUUAGUAGAAGAGUUUACACUCUGUCAUUCAUACACCUGCUCACAUUCUUUCACACACACACACGCGUCUGUUAAAUGUUAUAAUAUCAAAGUUAAUGUUGUGAUUUAUUUGUGUACUGUCAUGCCAGAAUAGUUGGAAAAAAACCUAACUAAUUUGUAAAUUUAUUGUAUGUGUUUUCGUAUAUUUUUAUACAAUAUACACAAUUGAACAAAGUCCAAUUUGAUCUUAAGUUAUAUUCAUCAAAUGUUCAAUGCUUUAUGAACUCUGUAGCUGUUAAUGCCAUCCUUUUCUGCAAUUCUUCUAACAUG